rnacentral:rRNA from 1 species
UACAGAGGUGGCAAGCGUUGUUCGGAAUUACUGGGCGUAAAGGGCGCGUAGGCGGUUCGUUAAGUCCUGUGUGAAAUCCCCCGGCUCAACUGGGGAACUGCACAGGAAACUAGCGGGCUUGAGUUCGGGAGAGGGAAGCGGAAUUCCGGGUGUAGCGGUGAAAUGCGUAGAUAUCAGGAGGAACACCGGUGGCGAAGGCGGGUCUCUGGGCCACUACUGACGCUGAGAAGCGAAAGCAUGGGGAGCGAACAGGG